rnacentral:rRNA from 1 species
GGAAGCUUGCUUCCUAUGAAAUCGAGUGGCAAACGGGUGAGUAACGCGUAAACAACCUGCCCUUCGGAUGGGGAUAACAGCCGGAAACGGCUGCUAAUACCGAAUACGAUCUUUUCGUCGCAUGACGGAAAGAAGAAAGGAUGGCCUCUAUACAAAGCUAUCGCCGAAGGAGGGGUUUGCGUCUGAUUAGCUGGUUGGAGGGGUAACGGCCCAACAAGGCGAUGAUCAGUAGCCGGUCUGAGAGGAUGAACGGCCACAUUGGGACUGAGACACGGCCCAGACUCCUACGGGAGGCAGCAGUGGGGAAUCUUCCGCAAUGGACGAAAGUCUGACGGAGCAACGCCGCGUGAGUGAAGAAGGUCUUCGGAUUGUAAAACUCUGUUAUACGGGACGAAAAAGGCGGAUGCCAACAGUAUCCGUCCGUGACGGUACCGUAAGAGAAAGCCACGGCUAACUACGUGCCAGCAGCCGCGGUAAUACGUAGGUGGCAAGCGUUGUCCGGAAUUAUUGGGCGUAAAGGGCGCGCAGGCGGUUCGGUAAGUCUGUCUUAAAAGUGCGGGGCUUAACCCCGUGAGGGGACGGAAACUGUCGAACUUGAGUGUCGGAGAGGAAAGCGGAAUUCCUAGUGUAGCGGUGAAA